rnacentral:lncRNA from 10 species
GAGUCUCUCUUAGGCUGAACUCCUGAUUGUCGCUCUGUUUCAUCUGGGAGUCGGCUGUGAAGGGGUCUUCCCCCUCCUAUUUGAGAGGGGUCUUUCCACCUCUGGUUGGGAGCUCUGUUCACAAGGGUUCUUUUCAUCAGAGAGCUGAAUGAAGGAAUUUUUCAGCCCUCAGAUUGAGGCUUCAGUGAAGGAACUUUUCCCCUUCAGUUGGAUAAGGCAGCUUAUGGUCCUUCUUGGAAGGAAAGUUAUGAAGAUCCUCGUCACUGAGGCGGACAACGCACACAAUACCCAGAGUCUUCCGGUGGGUGCCCAGGAGGGGUACACAUGAUCCAUUUGGACGUGGAAGGAAUCCAUUAAAAGUAUUGCUUCUGGCUAAAAUAAAAGAGACAGGAAGCUUUGAUAACAGUUAAUAUUGAGGUUGACACAGGUACCUUCCCUGAGUGGAUCCCUGGGCCUGACAGUCGCACAGGAGUGGCUGACAGAAGAGGCUUGGUCCUCACCGAAGCCAAGCCCUCCAUCCUACUUUUGCUUUCAGCCUAUCUGGGUCUACUACAGUUUGUAAGUACUCAGUUAAAAUGCUUUAAUUUUAACCAAACUGACCU